UUUGCAGUCUCUCCAGUUUCCUUCCUUACUGCCCUACUCUCCUCUUCUCUCUGUUACCCUAUUCAGCCACUGUGGUUUCUGCACUGUUCCAAGCCCACCUCAGGGCAUUUGCACGUGCUAGUCCUGUGACCUGGAGCAAUCAACCCCCUGAUAGUCACAUGGCUCACUCCGUUAGUCCUGUCAGGUUAUAGGCCAAAGGUCAGAGAAGCCUUUCUGGUCUUUUCCUUAUGAAAAUGGCAACUCUUAUCAUCGCUGUCCUUUUAGCUUGCUUUAGUGUGUUUUCUUCACACUUAAAAUUACAUUGUUUACAUAUUGCUUACUGUUCGCAUUGCUGUCUCCUGCACAAAAGUGUAGUCACCAAGAGGGCUGCAUCCCGUACAUGGAGGCAAUCAUGUGCCUGUGGUGGGUGCACGCCUAGCGUGUCUUAAAUGAACGAAACUUCUCCCACGCUGCCCGCCACACUGCAGGUUCUACUCACUCCAGAGUACUUAAUAAUCCCCGGACUUCUUACCUGGUUGGUUUCGCACUUCUGGACCGAAAAACAUUUUGAACUAAGGAAUAACUUCAGGAAAGGACAUAACCCCUCAGUAGAAGAAACCCAGGCUCCACCAACAGCAUUUGAACGUUUCUUUGCCUAAGAUGGCCAAGCUUUCAAAGAGUCUCUUCUCCUUUGAAAUCCCAGCAUAACCAGAGGAACCAGGCCACUUUUAUGGCGGCUCACGGCCGCUCCCUUCACCUGGGUAGAGCCAGGAGUUGGAACUCCAUGCAGAUCUCCCACAGGAGUGGCAGAAACCACCCCCCCACCCCGCCUCCUGGACUCUUCACUGGUGGGAAGCUGCAGGCAGACGCUGAGACUCAACCCCACGACACGCUGGGGGAUCCUUGCAUCCCUGGAGGAAGAGGAUUCAGACAAGAGACAGAGGUUGGUGAUCACCCUGCAGAAGUUAAUGGAGGAGUGGGGGUGGGGGAUGGAAGGGGCUGGUGGGGAGCUCAGCAGAAAACCGAGCGCCCUGUCUAUGCUUAGACUGGGGUUUCAUGGGUGCAGGGGGGACUUUUUCCUGCCGUUCCUACUCCACCCCCUCAGGGAUGUUGCUGGGCAGGAAGCUUCCAGGGUGCGAGGGUGCCUGGAGGGGAGGGGGUAUUCUUGUCCAUUGUGAUCCAACAGGAAGGUCCAUAUGCACUGGGCCAGGAAGCCCCGCCCUCAGCUGUCCUUGGGGGGUGCGGAUCCCCCUUCCCUGGGGUGUUAUUGGACGGGAAGAUUUCCUGGCCGCUGGAUCUUCCCUACAGUGUCAGCGGCCUGGGCAGGAAGAGUUCCUGGUGGAGGUGUUCCCUCCAAGGUUUCCAGAGGGACUUUUGAUGUGCAAAUGUCAGGUUGCUUUCAAGGCAAGCUUCAAAGACCUCUAGGUUCUUCCCUGAUUCAGCUGCAGGAAAUUCUAGUUUUUUUUUUUUCUUUUUUCUUUUCUUGUCAUGCCUAUGGGCUCAUGCCUGUUUGCCUUCUCCCUGCCUAAUACUGAACCGCUAGGAUAAAUGUCCUCUCCCUUAUGUAGUUUUAUGGUUUUAAAAAGUAACCCCAGGGCAUCCAUAUUCUGUCCCAAGGAUAAAGGUCCAUAAUGGGGAGUCAAGAAUCUAUUGGAGGGGCCAGCAUUGUGGCGUAGCAGGUUUAACACUGGCAUUCCAUACAGGAACCGGUUCGAGAUCUGGCUGCUCUGUUUCUAAUCCAGCUCCCUGCUAAUGUGCCUAGGAAAGGAGCAGAGGACGGCCCAAGUGCUUGGGCCCCCGCACUCACCUGGGAGACCUGGAAGAAACUCCUGGCUCUUGGCUUUGGCCUGGCCCAGCCCCAGCCUUCACAGCCAUUUGGGGAGUAAACCAGCAGAUGGAAGAUUCUCUCUCUCUCUCUCUCUCCUCCUCUGAAUGUAACUCUGCCUUUCGAAUAAAUUAAGAAUCUACUGGAAGGACUAGGCAAAUGAUUAAAAUAUAAGAUUUACAAUUUUGAGGAGAAAUGACACAGGUUUCAAAGCAGUUGGGGGCAGUGCAUGGGUGGAUGGGAGAAUAGAGACAUAGCUGUUGCCUGCUGUUGUGCCAGCCCCCCUGCUUUCUAGGGUGAGAAUCUGGGUGAGGUGUUUGCAUCUACGAAAGUAGAUUUCCCUAUCUGUGAAUUUGACUAAAUUCCAGCCUCACCUCAAAGUAGACUCCUCUGUCUUUCUCCAUUGCCUUUAUAUUAGUUAUGGAACUGUGUAUUGUCUUUCUCAUCCACUAGUGGGUCAGCUCUGUGAAGACGGCGACCUUGGCCAUCCUGUUCACUACAUGAGGUUUAAUGCCUAGAAUGGUGCCUGACAUAUAGCAAAUAUUUGAGAAUUAGCCGUUCUGGAAAAAAAAAUGUAGACUUUAAAAGAAAUAAGAUAUGUAAUACACUUGGCAUAGUGCCUGGCGUGUUGUUGAAGAGAUUUUGGCUUUGUUACCAUUGUGAUCAUUGCUAUCAGUUGCUGGAAACUUGGAGUAUGCUCUUCUGAGCUAGGGAAAACUGGAUUAAAAGACCUUAAACUAUGAACAAGCCCUUUGGGUCAUAUCCACUCCUGCAAACUCAGCCAUUUCUGCCUGAACUUCUAACCUGGUCUUCAGCCCUGAUCCACCUGCCGAGCCACCUGCUCACCUUGCUGUUCUCUGAGUCAGCAUCACCCAGCUGCUGGGGAUUUCUCAUGAGGGCUUUGUACACACGCAGAGCCAGAACAGCCCAAAGGACUCCAGCAAACCCUCCUUGUGCUCCCAGCAAGCAUGGCCCAGACUCCUACAAGGACGCCUUGGAUAUGUAGGCAGGGCUGAUGUCAUGGGUAUGUGGCAUUGGCCCUGUUGUUCAGAAGGGUCCAAAGCUUGGUUUAAUUCUCUGCAGUUGCCACCUUGAAAUUCAUUGUCAUUGAACUUGAACAAUGGAGCCUGCACCUGAGCAGAGGCCUUGCCGUGCAUUUGCAUGUAUUUAUCCAAAUGAUGCUCCCUGAACACAGAGUGCUGGUGGACUCAUGAUGUGUGGGAGUUCAGGGACACUCAAAACAGCCUGAGGAGACUGUGACAUCAGAGAACAGGAGACUCAGACAAAUGUCACAGCCACCUCCCAACGCAUUCUCAGUUCUAAUUUGGACCAGGUCAGACCAUCUGGGGCAUCGCUUCCUCCUUGUGGUAGGCAGAAGAAUGGCACCCAAGGACGGCUGUGCUCUAAUCCCCUGGGGCUGUGAAUCCAUCACUUGGAAUGGCCACAGGAACUGCUCUCCGGAUUAGGAAAUGCCUCAAGAUUUUAUCAAAGAGACCUGGCCCAGCAGCCUGGCAUUUUCUUCAGUGAAACCCAUCCUGGAAUCUCUGAGAGGCGGCUGAGGAAGAGAGGGAAGGGAAAGUGAGUUGUUUGCCUUUGCUUAGCUCUGGCCAUUGGCCAAAAGUCCAGCUCUCAAACAGCUGGAUACUGGCAUUUGUCUUAAAAUUCAUCUUUGUCAACACUGCUGCUGUCCUCGGUCUCUCAUUUCCAUUUUCAUAAUCUUCCCUGCUUUCCAUAAGCCCUUGACCUCUUCUGAUCUGUCUCAGUCUAUAAAUCUACCUAAGUAUUACUUAGACUGGCUUGUCACUCUUGCUAAUUCCCAGUUUUGUCAAACUUGGGCAGGUGUUUGGCAGCAAUUCCCUGUAUAAUCUAUGAGACAGAUCCUUCUGGAGUAAUGUCGCUGAGAGGUCAUAAUGCAUGUUUGGGGUUGGCUUGACUUGUGGGACUUUGACUCUUCUACUUUCUACCUCUGUGAUGUUGGCUAAAUAUUCUCUUUGAUUCCAGUUCUUAUCAAAGGGUCAUUUUUAAAAACAUGAUUUUCUUUUUUUUUUUUUUUUUUUUUUUACAGGCAGAGUGGACAGUGAGAGAGAGAGACAGAGAGAAAGGUCUUCCUUUUGCCGUUGGUUCACCCUCCAAUGGCCGCCGCGGCCGGCGCGCUGCGGCCGGCGCACCGCGCUGAUCCGAUGGCAGGAGCCAGGAGCCAGGUGCUUUUCCUGGUCUCCCAUGGGGUGCAGGGCCCAAGCACCUGGGCCAUCCUCCACUGCACUCCCGGGCCACAGCAGAGGGCUGGCCUGGAAGAGGGGCAACCGGGACAGAAUCCGGUGCCCCGACCGGGACUAGAACCCGGUGUGCCGGCGCCGCUAGGCGGAGGAUUAGCCUAGUGAGCCGCGGCGCCGGCCUAAAAACAUGAUUUUCAUCCAGCUGUACAGUGAGUAAGUAUAAAAGGCUUAUUUAACUCACUAAGGAAGAAAUCUGCAGGGUAUCAAUGCUAGCUUGAAGAACAUUCAGAAACAUCUUUAUCCAAGAUUUUUAGUCUGCUAGGAAAGAAGUGCCACAAUAAAAUCACUAAGUGAUAUGUAAAAUUGGUGAAUGCCAUAAAGGACAACAAAACUGUGAUCUUAGGUGCUAUUUUUUAUGUUUUUACUGGACAGAGAUGAUUUGCCUCUCUACUGAAGAAAAUUAUUUACAGCUUGUCAACUUUCUUAAAUUAGGAUAGAAAUUUGCAUAGUCUAGGCCCUAAUUAAUAACAAAUAGUAAAUAGUUACAGUUACAUUUUCUUAGAGAAUUAAGCAGACCUGGGGAUAUCUGUUAGACAAUGCUCCAAUAAGGUAUUAGAUGACAUGCAACAUUCUUCACCUCUUUACAGCUGUUGAAUAAUUUUCUUAACAGCUUUCAUAUACAAAAUAGGACACCUGCAAGAUGCAUUGCAGAAGAUGGAGGAUCUAGUAUAUCAAGCCAUAUAUGAGGCUGUUCUUCCUUUGUCCCUAGACUAAUAGUCUACCAAGAUAUUGCUGCUCUUAAUUCCUAUUAUGUAUCAAUAGCAUCAUGGGGCAAGGAGGUCUCCCUCUUCCAAGCUUCAAAGUUGUGAAGACACCAAUCUCUUCCCUUUGUUGAUCCUGCCUGAGGCCUUGGCUGAUUCUAUUCUGACUGUUACAGGUGGAGAAGGGGUGUACGUGUCCUCACAUUCCUGAAAAUAAGGAAGUUUUCUGUUGAAAACAUGGCACAGCUUAUAAAAUUAUGUCAGUUACUACAUUCAGAAUUGUUACUUUUAUCACUUCUGUAAGGUAUUGUUGAUUUUUUUCUACAAACAAUGCAUUACCAAAGCAGUUUACAUACAUUCUCUCAUUUAAUUCUCAAAGAUAUACACUAUUUAUUACUCUUAUCCUCACUUAAAAGAAGAAGAAACUGAAAUCCAAAUAGGUUAAGCAGCUCCCCCAAGAUCUGAUUAGCAAGUGGUGGGUCUGGGAUUCAAACCCACAACACCUGAAUCUACUCUGCUUCACUUCUGCAUGCACCUUGAGUCCUAUUUGUUUUGCAACUGUGUUUUUAAAAAGUCAAACUGUUUGUUCAUUACAUUGGAAACUAAUAUAAAGAAAACCUGUGAGGGUUAGGAACAUUGGACAAAUGUCAUUAGGGUCCCAGACCCGGUAGAAGACACAAUGUCCUUUCACACUGGAUUAUUCAGGACCACGGACAGCGACCUCACCACUUCAACCAACAGCACAACUACCAGACCCGGUGGCAAUACCAAACACAUUUCCUGCGGUGCAGGCAGCCCUAUAUUGCUCAGGUUGUGCCCUACUGGCAGGCACUUGGUUAAGGGGUUUCAGAAGGGCUGUGAUGUUGUCAAAUUCUGCCACUAGUUACGGGGCUAUGACUCCCUUGGAGAAGGGCACUGCUUUAAAGUUUUAUCAUAGAAGCUGAGUGGGCUGUGAGUGAUCCUGUUACUACAGGUAAUGAUCAAAAAGUUUGAAACUGACCCUAGAGGUUGAUACUUGCAAAUUAUACUUAACUGGAGUGAGAUCCACAUGGCCAAGUUUUGGUGAGACCAGGAGAGAGGGAUAAUAUUUGGGGAAUUUGGAAGGCAAAUAGAAGAGAAUGCCAUGGAAAGUAGGAGGUGUUUAAUGAAGAGGUUAAGAGAAUAUGCUGCUUCGUGGAAGCAAAUUUCUUAGACUUACGAUUUUGCCAAAGGUUGGCUUCAACCUUAGAUGAUUAAGAUGAGAAUAUACAACACACAGACUUGUGUUAAAUUCCUGGCCCCAUAAUUGCUAAACUGAACUUGAAGGCAAAAGUUGUAUUUAAUUCAUCUUUGUACACUUUAGUUCUGAGCACAUGUCACAAAGUCACUGUAUGUUCAGUUGAACUUUUCGCAGAUUCUGCGCAAUCCUGGACCAGUCCUUCCAGAAAUGUCUGAAACUUUCCACACCUGCAGAAUGGCAUCUGGUUUUCUUCACAGGGUUAUUAUGACGAUCAAUAAAAUAAUCAAGAGUAUGAGCUUUAUAAAGCUCAAAGUGCUAAAUAGCAAUUAUUAGUUGUAUGUUUGUUAUGAACCUCAUUAACUGGCCUAUAUUAUUUACGGAGAUGAGAAUAUACUCUGGAAUUCAUUGAAUUCAUUGGAAAAAGGGAGUGCAUUAAAAAGUCUGUUACUGGGCUGGCGCUGUGGUGCAGCGGGUUAAAGCCCUGGCCUGAAGCACUGGCAUCUCAUAUGGGCACUGGUUCUAGUCCUAGCUGCUCCUCUUCCAAUCCAGCUCUCUGCUGUGGCCUGGAUCCUUGGGCCCCUGCAUCCACAUGGGAAACCAGGAGGAAGCUCCUGGCUCCUGGCUUCAGAGUGGCGUAGCUCCAGCCAUUGUAGCCAUCUGGGGAGUGAACCAGCAGAUGGAAGACCUCUUUCUCUCUCUCUUUUUUUUUUU